rnacentral:rRNA from 1 species
AUGAACGCUGGCGGCGUGCCUAAUACAUGCAAGUCGAGCGAACAGACGAGGAGCUUGCUCCUCUGACGUUAGCGGCGGACGGGUGAGUAACACGUGGAUAACCUACCUAUAAGACUGGGAUAACAUCGGGAAACCGGAGCUAAUACCGGAUAAUAUAUUGAACCGCAUGGUACAAUAGUGAAAGACGGUUUUGCUGUCACUUAUAGAUGGAUCCGCGCCGCAUUAGCUAGUUGGUAAGGUAACGGCUUACCAAGGCAACGAUGCGUAGCCGACCUGAGAGGGUGAUCGGCCACACUGGAACUGUGACACGGUCCAGACUCCUACGGGAGGCAGCAGUACGGAAUCUUCCGCAAUGGGCGAAAGCCUGACGGAGCAACGCCGCGUGAGUGAUGAAGGUCUUCGGAUCGUAAAACUCUGUUAUUAGGGAAGAACAAAUGUGUAAGUAACUAUGCACGUCUUGACGGUACCUAAUCAGAAAGCCGCGGCUAACUACGUG